rnacentral:rRNA from 1 species
UGAGCAAUCUGCCCUUCUUAUCGGAAUAAGCGUUGGAAACGACGUCUAAUGCCGAAUACGACCUCCUUUCGCAUGAUCGGAGGUGGAAAGCUCCGGCGGAGAAGGAUGAGCUCGCGGCCUAUCAGCUAGUUGGUGUGGGUAACGCCCACCAAGGCGACGACGGGUAGCCGGCCUGAGAGGGUGACCGGCCACACUGGGACUGAGACACGGCCCAGACUCCGUACGGGAGGCAGCAGG